rnacentral:rRNA from 1 species
UACAGAGGUCCCAAGCGUUGUUCGGAUUCACUGGGCGUAAAGGGUGCGCAGGUGGGUUUGCAAGUUCGAUGUGAAAGCCCCGGACUUAACCCGGGAAUGGCAUUGGAUACUGCAGAUCUGGAGGAUCGGAGGGGGGACUGGAAUUCUUGGUGUAGCAGUGAAAUGCGUAGAUAUCAAGAGGAACACCAGUGGCGAAGGCGAGUCCCUGGACGAUACCUGACACUGAGGCACGAAAGCUAGGGGAGCAAACAGG